rnacentral:rRNA from 1 species
UUUGAUCCUGGCUCAGGAUGAACGCUAGCGGCAGGCCUAAUACAUGCAAGUCGAACGAGAUUACCAGCUUGCUGGUAUGAAAGUGGCGCACGGGUGCGUAACGCGUAUGCAACCUACCUUAAUCAGGGGGAUAGCCCGAAGAAAUUCGGAUUAAGACCGCAUAAAUCACAGUAUAGCAUUAUACAAUGAUCAAAUAUUUAUAGGAUUAAGAUGGGCAUGCGUGACAUUAGUUAGUUGGCGGGGUAACGGCCCACCAAGACCACGAUGUCUAGGGGAUCUGAGAGGAUGACCCCCCACACUGGUACUGAGACACGGACCAGACUCCUACGGGAGGCAGCAGUAAGGAAUAUUGGUCAAUGGAGGGAACUCUGAACCAGCCAUGCCGCGUGCAGGAAGACAGCCCUCUGGGUCGUAAACUGCUUUUAUUCGGGAAUAAACCACAUUACGUGUAAUGUGCUGAAUGUACCGAAGGAAUAAGGAUCGGCUAACUCCGUG